rnacentral:rRNA from 1 species
AGAAUCAACGCUGGCGGCGUGCCUCAGACAUGCAAGUCGAACGAUUAAAGCUCUCUUCGGAGAGUGUAUAGAGUGGCGCACGGGUGAGUAACACGUAAGUAAUCUACCUUCGAGUGGGGAAUAACCCGGGGAAACCCGAGCUAAUACCGCAUAAUGCAGCGGCAUCGCAAGAUGACAGUUGUUAAAGGAUUUAUUUCGCUUGAAGAGGAGCUUGCGGCAGAUUAGCUUGUUGGUAAGGUAACGGGCUUACCAAGGCUACGAUCUGUAUCCGGUCUAAGAGGACGGUCGGACACACUGACACUGAAUAACGGGUCAGACUCCUACGGAGGCAGCAGUCGGGAAUUUGGGCAAUGGGCGAAGCCUGACCCAGCAACGCGCGUGAAGGAUGAAGUAUUUCGGUAUGUAAACUCGAAAGAAUAGGAAGAAUAAAUGACGUACUAUUUAUAAGCUACCGGACUAACUACGUGACCAGACACGGCCGACGGUAAUCGUGGAAGCGGGACGUGGACGAAGG